rnacentral:rRNA from 1 species
UAAUACGGAGGGUGCAAGCGUUACUCGGAAUCACUGGGCGUAAAGGAUGCGUAGGCUGUAAUAUAAGUCAGAAGUGAAAUCCAACGGCUUAACCGUUGAACUGCUUUUGAAACUGUUUUACUAGAAUAUGGGAGAGGUAGAUGGAAUUGGUGGUGUAGGGGUAAAAUCCGUAGAUAUCACCAGGAAUACCGAUUGCGAAGGCGAUCUACUGGAACAUUAUUGACGCUGAGGCAUGAAAGCGUGGGGAGCAAACAGGAUUAGAUACCCUGGUAGUCCACGCCCUAAACGAUGCACACUAGUUGUUGCGAUGCUAGUCAUUGCAGUAAUGCACUUAACAGAUUAAGUGUGCCGCCUGGGGAGUACGGUCGCAAGAUUAAAACUCAAAGGAAUUGACGG